rnacentral:rRNA from 1 species
AUUGAACGCUGGCGGCAGGCCUAACACAUGCAAGUCGAGCGGAUGAAGGGAGCUUGCUCCUGGAUUCAGCGGCGGACGGGUGGGAAAUGCCUAUGAAUCUGCCUUGUAUUGGGGGAUAACGUCCUGAAACGGGCGCUAAUACCGCAUACGUCCUGAGGGAGAAAGUGGGUGAGCUUCCGACCUCUCGCUAUCAGAUUAGCCUAGGUGCGAAUAGCUAGUUGGUGGGGUAACGGCCUUCCAAGGCGACUAUCCGUAACUGGUCUGAGAGGAUGAUCAGUCACACGGGAACUGAGACACGGUCCAGACUCCUACGGGAGGCAGCAGUGGGGAAUAUUGCACGAGGGGCGAAUGGCUGAUACAGCAAUGCCGCGUGUAUGAAGAAGGUCUUCGGAUUGGAAAGCGCUGUAAGUUGGGAGGAAGUGAAGUAAGUUAAUACCUGGCUAUUUUGACGUUACCAGCAGAAUAAGCACCGGCUAACUUCGUG